GACGAACGCUGGCGGCGUGCCUAACACAUGCAAGUCGAACGAAGUGGCGAAUGGGUGAGUAACGAGUAAUAAACCUGCCCUUCAGAGGGGGACCACAGUUGGAAACGACUGCUAAUACCGCAUACUGAAGGUGGGGAUUGCGUCUGAUUAGCUAGUUGGAGGGGUAACGGCCCACCAAGGCGAUGAUCAGUAGACGGUCUUAGAGGAUGACCGGCACAAGUGGGACUUAGACCCCGCCCAGACUCCGACGGGAGGCAGCAGGGGGGAAGCUUCCGCAAUGGACGAAAGGCUGACGGAGCAACGCCGCGGUAGUGAUGACGGCCUUCGGGUUGUAAAGCUCUGUUAAUCGGGACGCGGUACCGGAAUAGUAAGCCACGGCUAACUACGUGCCAGCCGCCGCGGUAAUAC
rnacentral:rRNA from 1 species